AAAUGGCCCAGUUGAGCAGCUGUGACAGUCCUGACACUCCAGAGACAGAUGAUUCUAUUGAGGGCCAUGGGGCAUCUCUGCCAUCUAAAAAGACACCCUCUGAAGAGGACUUCGAGACCAUUAAGCUCAUCAGCAAUGGCGCCUAUGGGUAAAGGCAGGGGUCAGGGUGUGGCCAGGACUGAAGCCGGGUCAGCCUUUGAUCUCUUCCAUGUGAGAGUGUGCUGCCCAGUCCUCUGGGCAGAUGCCUCGGGGUGGACCUUCUCACUCCCAGAAGCCUCCUGGGUGGGCAGGAGUUCAGAUUCCUCUCACAUCCGAUCAUUGUUCCUUUCCCAGACAAGAUUCCC
rnacentral:sRNA from 1 species